rnacentral:rRNA from 1 species
GGCUCAGAACGAACGCUGGCGGCAGGCUUAACACAUGCAAGUCGAGCGCCCCGCAAGGGGAGCGGCAGACGGGUGAGUAACGCGUGGGAAUCUACCCUUGACUACGGAAUAACGCAGGGAAACUUGUGCUAAUACCGUAUGUGUCCUUCGGGAGAAAGAUUUAUCGGUCAAGGAUGAGCCCGCGUUGGAUUAGCUAGUUGGUGGGGUAAAGGCCUACCAAGGCGACGAUCCAUAGCUGGUCUGAGAGGAUGAUCAGCCACAUUGGGACUGAGACACGGCCCAAACUCCUACGGGAGGCAGCAGUGGGGAAUAUUGGACAAUGGGCGCAAGCCUGAUCCAGCCAUGCCGCGUGAGUGAUGAAGGCCCUAGGGUUGUAAAGCUCUUUCACCGGAGAAGAUAAUG